GUGGGGAAUCUUGCGCAAUGGGCGAAAGCCUGACGGAGCAAUGCCGCGUGAAGGAUGAAGGCCUAUGGGUUGUAAACUUCUUUUCUCAGAAAAGAAUUAUGACGGUAUCUGAGGAAUAAGCAUCGGCUAACUCUGUGCCAGCAGCCGCGGUAAGACAGAGGAUGCAAGCGUUAUCCGGAAUGAUUGGGCGUAAAGCGUCUGUAGGUUGUUUAAAAAGUAUUCUGUCAAAGAUUAGGGCUUAACCCUAGAUAGGCAGAAUAAACUUUUAAGCUAGAGUUUGGUAGAGGCAGAGGGAAUUCCCGGUGGAGCGGUGAAAUGCGUAGAUAUCGGGAGGAACACCAAAGGCGAAGGCACUCUGCUGGGCCAAUACUAACACUGAGAGACGAAAGCGAGGGGAGCAAAUGGGAUUAGAAACCCUGGUAGUCC
rnacentral:rRNA from 1 species